rnacentral:rRNA from 1 species
GACGAACGCUGGCGGCGUGCUUAACACAUGAAAGUCGAACGAAGUGGCGAACGGGUGAGUAACGCGUAAUCAACCUGCCCUUCAGAGGGGGACAACAGUUGGAAACGACUGCUAAUACCGCAUACUGAAGGAGGGGAUUGCGUCUGAUUAGCUAGUUGGAGGGGUAACGGUCCACCAAGGCGAUGAUCAGUAGCGCGUCUAAUAUAAUCUCCUUCCCCUUUGGGACUGAGACACGGCCCACACUCCUCCCUGCUCCUCCCCUUCUCCUUCUUCCUCCCUUUCCGAAAGUCUGACCCCUCAACGCCGCGUGAGUGAUUCCCUCCUUCUAUUUUUCCCUCUCUGUUAAUCGGGACGCGGUACCGGAAUAGAAAGCCACGGCUAACUACGUGCCAUCCGCCGCGGUAAUAC